rnacentral:rRNA from 1 species
GACGAACGCUGGCGGCGUGCCUGACACAUGCAAGUCGAGCGAGUGGAUCUCCUUCGGGAGAGAAGCUAGCGGCGGACGGGUGAGUAACACGUGGGCAACCUGCCUCAUAGAGGGGAAUAGCCUCCCGAAAGGGAGAUUAAUACCGCAUAAGAUUGUAGCUUCGCAUGAAGUAGCAAUUAAAGGAGUAAUCCGCUAUGAGAUGGGCCCGCGGCGCAUUAGCUAGUUGGUGAGGUAACGGCUCACCAAGGCGACGAUGCGUAGCCGACCUGAGAGGGUGAUCGGCCACAUUGGGACUGAGACACGGCCCAGACUCCUACGGGAGGCAGCAGUGGGGAAUAUUGCACAAUGGGGGAAACCCUGAUGCAGCAACGCCGCGUGAGUGAUGACGGCCUUCGGGUUGUAAAGCUCUGUCUUCAGGGACGAUAAUGACGGUACCUGAGGAGGAAGCCACGGCUAACUACGUGCCAGCAGCCGCAGUAAGAC